rnacentral:tRNA from 1 species
UAAGACUUGUAGGACACUAACCUACAUCUUCUGAAUGCAACUCAGCUACUUUAAUUAAGCUAAAGCCUC